rnacentral:piRNA from 1 species
UACAACUAUUGAAAGUACUAG